rnacentral:rRNA from 1 species
GACGAACGCUGGCGGCGUGCCUAAUACAUGCAAGUCGAGCGAUGAAGCUUGGUGCUUGCACCAAUUUGAAGAGCAGCGGACGGGUGAGUAACGCGUGGGGAAUCUGCUUUUGAGCGGGGGACAACAUUUGGAAACGAAUGCUAAUACCGCAUAACAACUUUAAACAUAAGAUUCAAGUUUGAAAGAUGCAAUUGCAUCACUCAAAGAUGAUCCUGCGUUGUAUUAGCUAGUUGGUGAGGUAAAGGCUCACCAAGGCGAAGAUACAUAGCCUAGCUGAAAGGGAGAACGGCCAACAUGGGACUUGAGCAAGGCCCAAACUCCUACGGGGGGCAACCGGAGGGGAACAUCGGCAAUUGGCGAAAGUCUUGCCGAGCAACUCCGGGGGAGGGGAGGAGGGUCUCGGAUCGGAAAACUCUGUUGGUAGAGAAGAAAGUUGAUGAGGGUAGAAAGCUCAUCUUGUGACGGUAACUACACAAUAAGGAACGGCUAACUACGUG